GAUGAACGCUAGCGGCAGGCCUGAUACAUGCAAGUCGAACGGUGUAGCAAUACACAGUGGCGCACGGGUGCGUAACACGUAUGCAACCUACCUAUCAUUGGGGGAUAGCCUUUGGAAACGGAGAUUAAUACCGCAUAAGACAGUAACAUGGCAUCAUGUAGCUGUUAAAGCUUUGGCGCUGAUAGAUGGGCAUGCGUCCAAUUAGUUAGUUGGUGAGGUAAUGGCUCACCAAGACGAUGAUUGGUAGGGGAUCUGAGAGGAUAAUCCCCCACACUGGCACUGAGAUACGGGCCAGACUCCUACGGGAGGCAGCAGUAGGGAAUAUUGAGCAAUGGACGGAAGUCUGACCCAGCCAUGCCGCGUGCAGGAUGAAGGCGUUAUGCGUUGUAAACUGCUUUUUUAUAGGAAGAAGGAGACCUUGCGAGGUUUGGUGACGGUACUAUAAGAAUAAGCACCGGCUAACUCCGUGCCAGCAGCCGCAGUAACAC
rnacentral:rRNA from 1 species